AGAGUUUGAUCCUGGCUCAGGACGAACGCUGGCGGCGUGCUUAACACAUGCAAGUCGAACGGUGAACCCGCUUCGGUGGGGGAUCAGUGGCGAACGGGUGAGUAACACGUGGGCAACCUGCCCCUGGCUCUGGGAUAACUCCAAGAAAUUGGGGCUAAUACCGGAUAUGACCGCUGACCGCAUGGUCUGGUGGUGGAAAGAUUUAUCGGCUGGGGAUGGGCCCGCGGCCUAUCAGCUUGUUGGUGGGGUAGUGGCCUACCAAGGCGACGACGGGUAGCCGGCCUGAGAGGGUGACCGGCCACACUGGGACUGAGACACGGCCCAGACUCCUACGGGAGGCAGCAGUGGGGAAUAUUGCGCAAUGGGCGGAGGCCUGACGCAGCGACGCCGCGUGGGGGAUGACGGCCUUCGGGUUGUAAACCUCUUUCAGCAGGGACGAAGCCGUAAGGUGACGGUACCUGCAGAAGAAGCACCGGCCAACUACGUGCCAGCAGCCGCGGUAAUACGUAGGGUGCAAGCGUUGUCCGGAAUUAUUGGGCGUAAAGAGCUCGUAGGCGGUUUGUUGCGUCGGCUGUGAAAUCCCGAGGCUCAACCUCGGGUCUGCAGUCGAUACGAGCAAACUAGAGUGUUGCAGGGGAGACUGGAAUUCCUGGUGUAGCGGUGAAAUGCGCAGAUAUCAGGAGGAACACCGGUGGCGAAGGCGGGUCUCUGGGCAACAACUGACGCUGAGGAGCGAAAGCGUGGGGAGCGAACAGGAUUAGAUACCCUAGUAGUCC
rnacentral:rRNA from 1 species